rnacentral:lncRNA from 1 species
GUGCUAGAGGCAGGGCCCAUGGGCCAUGAGCCCCUCAGACCCCAGGGACUAAGAGUGGAGUGGCAAGGCCAAGCCGCUCCCUCUUCUUUUUUUUUCUGCCGCCCCUGCAGCAUAUGGAAGUUCCUGGACCAGGGACUGAAUCUGAGCCACACGUGCAAUUUAUACCACGGUUGCAUCAAUGCCAGAUCCUUAACCCACUGUGCCACAGCAGGAACUCCUGUUCCGUCUUCUUGCUUAGAACUGCCUCCUCCCCCCACUCCCCAAAAAAACUGCUUCCCAGGCCAAAGUUAAUAAAACUGACAGCCUUGAUAAGUCACAUGGGAAACUGCCCCAAGAGAAAUAAGAUGGGAAGCUUUGUUUGUUAUUUCUUGCUCUUUUAAGCACUCAAUAGACAUUUAAAAAUUAAAUUAAAUGGCUUCUUUGUGCUAAUGCAGAUUGACAGGGAUGAUAUUUCUUCAGUGGUGGGAAUGACUGCUGAAUGGGUUCCCACCCUGCCAUCAUUACUCAGCUCAGGGUAGUUUAGCCCGGCCCCAUCACAGGUUUGAAGGUAUGCACUUCAAAACCAGUUGUGGAGUUCCUGUUGUGGCUCAGCAGUAACAAACCCAACUAGUAUCCACGAGGACUUGCAUUUGAUCCCUGGUCUUGCUCAGUGAGUUAAGGAUCCGACGUUGCUGUGAGCUGUGGCGUAGGUCCCAUAUGCAGCGCAGAUCCCGUGUUGUUGUGGCUGUGGUGCAGGCUGGCAGCUACAGCUCCGAUUCAACCCCUAGCCUGGGAAAUUCAAAUGCUGCAGUUGCGGCCCUAAGAUUAAAAACAAACAAACAAACAAAAAACCACUGUGUUCUCCCCAUGAAGUUCAUAGCUGAGUGGCCUCUAAGUUUUGUCCUUUCUAACCUCAGAAUCUGCCUUCCCGUGGCAGUGCGGGGUCCAGAGGCCAGAAGCAGGGUCUGCUCCCAGUGUCCCCACAGAAAUAGGAUGUCCUCCUGGGGGGCUUGUCCCUGUUUCUCAGCAAAAGAGACCCCGUGCUCACCAUCAACACCACCCUGGGUCCCAGCUGUCCCUCCUCCUUCCCUCCUCCCACGCACAGCUUCACACAGCAACCCCUCAACCUGCUUCUGAAAAAGAAAAGGAAGGGAGGAGUUCCUGUCAUGGCUCAGUGGUAAUGAACCCGACUAGUAUCCAUGAGGAUGUGCAUUCAAUCCCUGGCCUUGCUCAGUGGGUUAAGGAUCCAGCAUUGCCGUGAGCUCUGGUGAAGGUUGCAGACAUGGCUCGGAUCCUGUGUUGCUGUGGCCGUGGUGUAGGCCAGCAGCUGCAAUUCCAAUUUGACCCCUAGCCUGGGAACUUCCAUAUUCUGUGGGCGCAGCCCUAAAAAGACAAAAAAGAAAGAAAAAGAAACAGAGUGGUAGAGGCUAAAGUUAGGGAAGAAGGAACAGACAAAAGACUGACAAAAACCAUUCCAAAAUAAGGAAUUCUGGCUGUGGUUCGGUGGGUUAAGAAUCCGACUGCAGCAGCUCAGUUUGCUGCAGGGGCACAAGUUCAACCCCUGGCCCAGCAAAGUUGGUUAAAGUUCACAUUAAAAAAAAAAAUCUGGGAGUUCCCACUGUGGCUCAGUGGAUUAUGAAUCCGACUAGUAUCCAUGAGGCUGAGGGUUCAAUUCCUAGCCUUGCUCAAUGGGUUAAGGAUCCAGUGUUGCCACAAGGUUUUGGAUGUUUCCAAUACUAUUCGGUGGCACUGCACUGGUCCAGCCAAGGCUGCAAAUCCUGCUCAGAUUCAGUGUUGCUG